AGAGUUUGAUCCUGGCUCAGAGCGAACGCUGGCGGCAGGCCUAACACAUGCAAGUCGAACGGAUCCUUCGGGAUUAGUGGCGGACGGGUGAGUAACACGUGGGAACGUGCCUUUAGGUUCGGAACAACUCAGGGAAACUUGAGCUAAUACCGGAUGUGCCCUUAGGGGGAAAGAUUUAUCGCCUUUAGAGCGGCCCGCGUCUGAUUAGCUAGUUGGUGAGGUAAAGGCUCACCAAGGCGACGAUCAGUAGCUGGUCUGAGAGGAUGACCAGCCACAUUGGGACUGAGACACGGCCCAAACUCCUACGGGAGGCAGCAGUGGGGAAUCUUGCGCAAUGGGCGAAAGCCUGACGCAGCCAUGCCGCGUGUAUGAUGAAGGUCUUAGGAUUGUAAAAUACUUUCACCGGUGAAGAUAAUGACUGUAGCCGGAGAAGAAGCCCCGGCUAACUUCGUGCCAGCAGCCGCGGUAAUACGAAGGGGGCUAGCGUUGCUCGGAAUUACUGGGCGUAAAGGGAGCGUAGGCGGACAUUUAAGUCAGGGGUGAAAUCCCAGAGCUCAACUCUGGAACUGCCUUUGAUACUGGAUGUCUUGAGUAUGAGAGAGGUAUGUGGAACUCCGAGUGUAGAGGUGA
rnacentral:rRNA from 1 species